GAUGAACGCUGGCGGCGUGCCUAAUACAUGCAAGUCGAGCGAACGGACGAGAAGCUUGCUUCUCUGAUGUUAGCGGCGGACGGGUGAGUAACACGUGGAUAACCUACCUAUAAGACUGGGAUAACUUCGGGAAACCGGAGCUAAUACCGGAUAAUAUUUUGAACCGCAUGGUUCAAAAGUGAAAGACGGUCUUGCUGUCACUUAUAGAUGGAUCCGCGCUGCAUUAGCUAGUUGGUAAGGUAACGGCUUACCAAGGCAACGAUGCAUAGCCGACCUGAGAGGGUGAUCGGCCAAACGGGAACUGAGACACGGUCCAGACUCCUACGGGAGGCAGCAGUAGGGAAUCUUCCGCAAUGGGCGAAAGCCUGACGGAGCAACGCCGCGUGAGUGAUGAAGGUCUUCGGAUCGUAAAACUCUGUUAUUAGGGAAGAACAUAUGUGUAAGUAACUGUGCACAUCUUGACGGUACCUAAUCAGAAAGCCACGGCUAACUACGUG
rnacentral:rRNA from 1 species